GAAUCAAGCUUUCAAAUGGUGCAUUUAGUUUUCCGCUAUCUCUAAUAAUAAGAAAGAUAUCAGCUAAUAAAAUAGAUAGGAAAUGACGGGUAAAAGUUUGUUGUUGGAAGGUUUGUUGCUAUCGUCACACGGGUUAUUUAUUUAUUUUUAUUUUGUAACCAUGUAUACACAUGUCUUUUUUAAUAACUAUUUUAAUUUAAGUAAACUAUUGUUAAAUAAGCUACUAUGCUUAUUUAUCAUUUAUAUUUACAACAUAAAGAUAUUUCAAUCGUUUGACAGAUCAAUUGAUACACAAUCUAUUAACACAAAGUCUAUUAACACGCAUUUGGUAGAAACAAUUCUAUCUAACGACAGGUAAUUGUCGUUAUGCAUUGAUAACCUAAGAAAUAAGGUUAUGUUGUAAUCUCAAUAAGUUUAGUGAAAAUAACAUUUUAUUUUGUGCGUGGGUAUAAAUUAAACAAUUUGAGGUUAGGAUUUAAUACGAAAAUGCAUAUUUAACAUUGCUGUGAACUUCCAAAAGGAAACGUCAAAUCGCAACUUUAAAGUGAAUUUUCGAAAAUUUAAUUGUAUGGAUUAGGGUUACAUGUUAAAUGUGUUAAACCAAUGCCAUUGCUGAUUAAAAGUUGAUAAUUUACCUAGAUUCAUAAAAGUUAGGUAACCAUUCGGCAACUUGAGCGGCUCCGUCUUCGUGAAUUUCGAUCAAUUCUAAACGAAA
rnacentral:lncRNA from 1 species